GCGUCCGUAGCUCAGUUGGUUAGAGUACUACCUUGACAUGGUAGGGGUCGGCAGUUCGAGUCUGCCCGGACGCACCA
rnacentral:tRNA from 3 species